CCGUUGGUCGGGCGAGAAACCCACUCGAGAACCCUAGUUUCGGUCUCUGCAAUGCUCCAAAGAUGCUCUGCGUCCUCCGCCCCUCUCCUUGCCUCCCUCUCCGCCGGUUCCUUUGCAAGUGCUCCGCUCCGGACAUGUCGCGGUACAGGGAGGCCUUCGCCCGCAGGAUGGCCAUGGCCGGAAUCAAACCCCACCACCGAAUUGCUUUCGGCGUCUCUGGCGGACCCGAUAGCAUGGCGCUGUGCGUCUUGACGGCGGGUUGGAAAUUGGAUGGUUCGGUCACAAAGAACGAGUGUUCGGGCUUCAUUGAUGGGCUUCUGGGGAUUGUAGUGGACCAUAGAUUGCGUGCCGAGAGCACAGAGGAGGCUAUUUUGGUGCGAGACAGAGUGAACAAAAUGGGUGUCAAAUGUGAGAUUGGGACUUGUAAUUGGUCGGGUGGUCGACCAAAGCAUGGUCAUUUGCAAGAGGCUGCUCGUGAAAUGAGGUACCAAAUCUUUGAGGAUGUUUGCAUUAAGCAACACAUUGGAAUCCUUCUCAUCGCACACCAUGCAGAUGACCAGGCUGAGCUUCUAAUCCUGAGGUUGUCUCGUAAUAGUGGAGUUCUUGGGCUUGCUGGCAUGGCAUUUGUUUCACAAUUGUUUCCUGUGUCUCUAAGAUAUGGAGAGAAUCCAGCUUAUGAUGGUAUUUUGCUGGUGCGACCAAUACUAGAAUUUACAAAAGAUGACAUGUACAAGAUAUGCCAAGGAGCUAAUCAAGAAUGGGUGGAAGAUCCGACAAAUCAAAGUCAAUUAUAUGCUCGGAACCGAAUACGCUCCAGUUUAAGGUGCCUAUCAUCGGAUCUCUUUCAACUAGAACUGCAAAGGCUCAUCUCUGCUUGUCGCUUAGCACGUUCAUAUGUUGAGAGUAUUUGUCAUAAGAUGAUAAAGCACUCUGUCACCAUCAUGGAGCAUGGAUAUGCAGUUAUUGAUUUAGAGAAGCUCAAGCCAUCUAGUGUUGAUGAUCUUUGCUUAUCAAGAUAUUUAGCAUGGAUUUUGCAGUAUAUUUCACAAAGACACAGACCAAUUCGUGGCAGUAUUUCCCAGUUGCUCUUGGGUUACAUCCACAACUUCCCAUGCAAGACCUCACUUACUGCAGCUGGUUGUUACCUUUCCCCUGCUCCACGGUCAAAAGGCACAAAACUUUUAGUGUGUUAUUCUGUCGAUUCACCUCAAUCAUCCAGGACAGAGGAGUUAUGUUGCAAAUACUCACUCGAGGAAGAACAUUUUAUGCUCCCUAGCGAGAUACAUCAGAUAGUCAUCGAUGCAAAAUUAUACUCUGAUCAGUUUCUCCCUGAGGCUUCUGGUGUACCUAUUUUGCAUGCAAGAUCUUCUACGGCUAUUCUAACUGAAGCAAGGAAGCUUAAUCUUAUCAGUGACUCAACAUUAGAAAGCAUCUCCUCGUUGCAAGCAGAGGAAUACAAGAAGUUUAGUUCAGAGGGAGAAGUUAAACCUCCAUAUGAUUUAAGAUACAAAGUACAAUGUGUCAGUCCUUCAAGCGUAAAUAUACAUCCUAGCCAAUCGUGUUUGUUCAUGAACAGGUUUUUAGUCACAUGGAAACACCAUAACAAACAAGACCAUGCUUGCCAGUUUUGCAUGGUUGAACAGGAGACAAGUGUUGGAAUACGACAUAUGGUUGAUGCAGACUGGCUGUUUCUUGCAGAACUUUCAAAGGGCCAGGGAUUGGAAUAUGAUGAAGAUCAUGCAGAAACUCCAGUGUCUAACUUGAAUAAAAAUGUAGAACAGAGAGGUGAAAGUUCGAGCUUUAUUCAGUUGUCAGCACAAAGAGCUCUCAAGGCCUUGAAAUCGAUUCCAGUUCCUGCAAGAAAGGCCCUACCAGUACUUGUUAGUUCUAAAGGUUUACUACUUAGUAUACCAUGUAUUUGCUUCAGGCGUUGUCCUUGCCUUUCAGUGGCCACAGUAUUCAAGCCCAGAGUACCUCUUGGAGGAGGCUACAGUUCAUAUAUUUGAAAACUUCAGGUACCAAAAAAAUAAUAAGGCAUUCUACAUCUCAGAUUGAUAAUGAGUGAUGCCUACCUUGAUCCCACAAGAUUGGGUCAAAGUUGCUCAGCUACCAUAAAUAAUUGCACCUUUGGCAUCUUAUGGAAUUAUGACAGCCUUAUCCAGCCUUUUGUCUGAGCUGGUGCAGAGAGCAGGAAGCUCUCACUGGAAUCAAUCACAUGUUCAGAACACACCAGCCCACCAAUAUUGGGUGCAGAAAAAAAAGGUUUAAAUCUUGUCCACAGAGUAGUUGGUUGAUCAGUGCAAUAAAAUUAAGGGCUAUGAGAUUUCAGUAAACACAUGUUUAAAAAAGAAUUGCAAGGAUCAGAAUAGUUAGGGACACAAGAAGGUAAGCGAUCUGGAAGUUAUUUCAAAGCAUUAUAGAACUGAUUUUGGGAGGCCAAAAUAACUUGCAUGCUUCUUGUCAAGUCUGAACUAGGUAAACAAUGUUGCUGCUGCUUUGGGUCUUCAUCAAGUUUCCACACUGAGCUGAAACCCUCCCACAGAGGAUGGAUAGCUGAUAUGAGGUGGAGCUUCUCAGUGAGGGAAUAUAUGAGCUGUAGCUUAUUCGGUUGUCCUUGUCCUUUUGUUUUCUUCUCUGAUAAGAUCUCUCCAUGUGCCCAAGGCAGCUAAGCAAUGGUGUGCAGGUCCUCUGUCAGCUGCAACUCCAACUCACCACUUGAAUGUUGCAGUGGUUUCACAGAUGGACCAAUAGUUCUUUCUCCAACUUUGUGUGGUUUUUUGUCAUAUUGACAACAGAACCACUAAUCAAGGAGGGACACAAGGACUUCUCAAGGUGUAACUUCAUUCAUUUUGAUGAAGAGAAAACGUGCAUAUAGGGGACCGACUCAUCUGGUAGUUUGCAUAUCAGCAUCAGUCUUGAUAGAGAAUGAAGUUUUAUGUUUUGUGGUACAUAUCAUCAUGUGACUGUAAUAGUCGUGUAGUUCUGGAAGAAUCCUACUGAAAACUAACAGUGAAAUGCAACCUUCUUGAUCAUUGUGGAGCUCUUCAGUCACAAGAGGAGAUGCAAAGAACAUGGAAGAAUUUGUGGCCCCAAAUUCCUAUUAAAUGUGAUUGGUCUUUUGAUGGGAGGAAUGGAAUUCUUGCAUCUGGUGGGAGAGAGAUCCUGUUAGGGUUAGGGAAGCCAAACAAGCUUAAUGUGUAGCUCUAUUAUCCCAGACUCAAAACAGCUGAUCAACCAACCCCUCUCUGCACAAGAUGGGAACUUCUUUUUUACUGUAUCCAAUAAUGGUGGGCAUGUGUUUUCUGAACAUAGCCAUUAUGUCCACUGAGGUUUCCUGCUCUCUGCGCCAGAUCAGCCAAAAGGCUAAGGCUUCCUGCUCAUAGUACACUAUGCUUUCAUGUCAUUCUUGUUUCUCUUCUCAUCCCAUUUCUCUUGUAAAAGCCCUUUUUUUUUUCACUUUUGUUUGUGAUAUUUUGGCAUUCUCUAAUGACUAUUUGA